rnacentral:rRNA from 1 species
AUUGAACGCUGGCGGCAGGCCUAACACAUGCAAGUCGAACGAGUGGCGGACGGGUGAGUUAUGUCUGGGAAACUGCCUGAUGGUGGGGGAUAACUACUGGAAACGGUAGCUAAUACCGCAUACCAUCGGAUGUGCCCAGAUGGGAUUAGCUAGUAGGUGGGGUAAAGGCUCCCCUAGGCGACGAGCCCUAGCUGGUCUGAGAGGAUGACCAGCCCCACUGGAACAGAGACACGGUCCAGACGCCGACGGGAGGCAGCAGUGGGGAAUAUGGAACAAUGGGCGCAAGCCUGAUGCAGCCAUGCCGCGUGUAUGAAGAAGGCCUUCGGGUUGUAAAGUUCUUUCAGCGGGGAGGCGUUACCCGCAGAAGAAGCACCGGCUAACUCCGUGGCAGCAGCCGCGGUAAUUC